rnacentral:rRNA from 1 species
CAUCUAGGCAGUCAAUCAAGUCGAAGGUGAAAACUUGUGGCUCAACCAUAAGCUUGCCUACGAAACUGAUUAACUAGAGUACUGGAGAGGUGGACGGAACUACACGAGUAGAGGUGAAAUUCGUAGAUAUGUGUAGGAAUGCCGAUGAUGAAGAUAGCUCACUGGACAGAAACUGACGCUGAAGUGCGAAAGCUAGGGGAGCAAACA